rnacentral:rRNA from 1 species
AUUGAACGCUGGCGGCAGGCCUAACACAUGCAAGUCGAGCGGAUGAAGCGAGCUUGCUCCUGGAUUCAGCGGCGGACGGGUGAGUAAUGCCUAGGAAUCUGCCUCCUAGUUUGGGAUAACGUCCGGACACGGGCGCUAAUACCGCAUACGUCCUGAGGGAGAAAGUGGGGGAUCUUCGGACCUCGCGCUAUCAGAUGAGCCUAGGUCGGAUUAGCUAGUUGGUGGGGUAAAGUCGUACCAAGGCGACGAUCCGUAACUGGUCUGAGAGGAUGAUCAGUAACACUGGAAUGGAAACACGGUCCAGACUCCUCCGGGAGGCAGCGGUGGGGAAGAGUGGACAAUGGGCGGAAGCCUGACCCAACCAAGCCGCGUGUGUGAAGAAGGUCUUCGGAUUGUAAAGCACUUUACGUUGGGAGGAAAGGCAGUAAGUUAAUACCUGGCUGUGUUGACGGUACCAACAGAAGAAGCACCGGCUAACUUCGUG